GCCUCGGUAGCUCAAAGAGUAGAGCAAUACCCUCGUAAGGUAUAGGUUAUGGGUUCAAUCCCCAUCCGAGGCU
rnacentral:tRNA from 1 species